rfam:Puccinia sorghi strain RO10H11247 Scaffold_306, whole genome shotgun sequence.
GGCACUGUAGCUCAGUUGGUAGAGCACAUGCUUAACACUAAUCCCAGCACGUUCGCAUGUUGUCGUCGGUUCGAGCCCGGCCAGAGUCA